GGAAACUUUUUGUCGGUAAGUUGUUUAAUAAGAUGUCUUGAAUUGUUGUGAGACAUCUUGGCGCGUGCACUGCUAAGAAUGUGUUAUGAUCACUUCAACAUUUAGUUAGGAAAUUUGUUUCAAUUUUAAUUUGAUCAGAAGAUUGCUUUUGGAAAAAUGGUGAUAAUUCAAAUCAGGUUGGAAAAUAUUUUAUUAAAUCAUAAAUCUGAAUGAAGAAGAUUUAAUUGGAUAUGAUUUAAUUAAAGAUAUAUAUUUGAUUUAAU
rnacentral:lncRNA from 1 species